AUUGAACGCUGGCGGCAGGCCUAACACAUGCAAGUCGAACGGUAACAGAAUACAGCUUGCUGCUUUGCUGACGCGUGUCGGGGGGGUGAGUAAUGUACGUGAAACUGUCUGUUUGCGUGGGGGAACUACUGGAAACGGUAGCUAAUAUAGCAUAACGUCGCUACGGCUAAAAGCGGGACCUUCUCGCCUCUUGCGCUAUUAUGUGCCCAGAUGGGAUUAGCUAGUAGGUGGGGUAAAGGCUCACCGAGGCGACGAUCCCUAGCUGGUCUGAGAGGAUGAGCAGCCACACUGGAACUGAGACACGGUCCAGACUCCUACGGGAGGCAGCAGUGGGGAAUAUUGCACAAUGGGCGCAAGCCUGAUGCAGCCAUGCCGCGUGUAUGAAGAAGGCCUUCGGGUUGUAAAGUACUUUCAGCGGGGAGGAAGGGAGUAAAGUUAAUACCUUUGCUCAUUGACGUUACCCGCAGAAGAAGCACCGGCUAACUCCGUG
rnacentral:rRNA from 1 species